AGCAUAUCAAUAAGCGGAGGAAAAGAAACUAACAAGGAUUCCCCUAGUAACGGCGAGUGAAGAGGGAAAAGCUCAAAUUUUGAAUCUGGCGCCUUUGGCUCCCGAGUUGUAAUCUAGAGAAGUGUCUUCCGCAUCGAACCGUGUAAAAGUUCCCUGGAACGGGACGUCAUAGAGGGUGAGAAUCCCGUACAUGCCACGGACUACCUUUGCUCUGUGAUACACUCUCAACGAGUCGAGUUGUUUGGGAAUGCAGCUCAAAAUGGGUGGUAAAUUCCAUCUAAAGCUAAAUAUUGGCGAGAGACCGAUAGCGAACAAGUACUGUGAGGGAAAGAUGAAAAGCACUUUGGAAAGAGAGUGAAACAGUACGUGAAAUUGUUGAAAGGGAAGCGUUUGGAGUCAGUCGCGUCUGGCGGGAUUCAGCCUUGCUUCUGCUUGGUGUAUUUCCUGUCCGACGGGUCAGUGUCGAUUUCGAUUGAGGGAGAAAGGCUUGGGGAAUGUGGCCGUCUUCGGGCGGUGUUAUAGCCCCCUGUUGUAUGUCUCAGUCGGGAUCGAGGUACGCAGCGCGCCUUACGGCCGGGAUCGCUCCUCGGUACGCGCUUAGGACACUGGCAUAAUGGCUUUAAGCGACCCGU
rnacentral:rRNA from 1 species